GUGCCUAACACAUGCAAGUCGAACGAGAAAGUGGAGCAAUCCAUGAGUACAGUGGCGCACGGGUGAGUAACACGUGACUAACCUACCCUUGAGUGGGGGAUAACCUAGGGAAACCUGGGCUAAUACCGCAUAAUACCUACGGGUCAAAGGAGCAAUUCGCUUAAGGAGGGGGUCGCGGCCGAUUAGUUAGUUGGCAGGGUAAUGGCCUACCAAGACGAUGAUCGGUAUCCGGCCUGAGAGGGCGCACGGACACACUGGAACUGAAACACGGUCCAGACUCCUACGGGAGGCAGCAGUGGGGAAUUUUGCGCAAUGGGGGAAACCCUGACGCAGCAACGCCGCGUGGAGGAUGAAGUCCUUCGGGACGUAAACUCCUUUCGAUCGGGACGAUUAUGACGGUACCGGAAGAAGAAGCCCCGGCUAACUUCGUGCCAGCAGCCGCGGU
rnacentral:rRNA from 1 species